UACGUAGGGAGCAAGCGUUAUCCGGAUUUAUUGGGUGUAAAGGGUGCGUAGACGGGUAUACAAGUUAGUAGUGAAAUCCCUCGGCUUAACUGAGGAACUGCUACUAAAACUAUAUAUCUUGAGUACUGGAGGGGAAAGCGGAAUUCCUAGUGUAGCGGUGAAAUGCGUAGAUAUUAGGAAGAACACCGGUGGCGAAGGCGGCUUUCUGGACAGAAACUGACGUUGAGGCACGAAAGUGUGGGGAGCAA
rnacentral:rRNA from 1 species